rnacentral:lncRNA from 1 species
AUGGGAAAGACUAGAGAUCUCUUCAAGAAAAUUAGAGAUACCAAGGGAUCAUUUCAUGCAAAGAUGGGCUCAAUAAAGGGUAGGAAUGGUCUGGACCUAACAGAAGCAGAAGAUAUUAAGAAGAGGUGGCAACAAUACAUGGAAGAACUGUACAAAAAAGAUCUUCACGACCCAGAUAAUCAUGAUGAUGUGAUCACUAAUCUAGAGCCAGACAUCUUGGAAUGUGAAGUCAAGUGGGCCUUAGAAAGAAUCACUACGAACAAAGCUAGUGGAGGUUAUGGAAUUCCAGUUGAGCUAUUUCAAAUCCUGAAAGAUGAUGCUGUGAAAGUGCUGCACUCAAUAUGCCAGCAAGUUUGGAAAACUCAGCAGUGGCCACAAGACUGGAAACGGUCAGUUUUCAUUCCAAUCCCAAAGAAAGGCAAUGCCAAAGAAUGCUCAAACUACUGCACAAUUGCACUCAUCUCACAUGCUAGUAAAGUAAUGCUCAAAAUUCUCCAAGUCAGGCUUCAGCAAUACGUGAACCAUGAACUUCCUGAUGUUCAAGCUGGUUUUAGAGAAGGCAGAGGAAACAGAGAUCAAAUUGCCAACCAUCCACUGGAUCAUGGAAAAGCAAGAGAGUUCCAGAAAAACAUCUAUUUCUGCUUUAUUGACUAUGCCAAAGCCUUUGAGUGUGUAGAUCACAAUAAACUAUGGAAAAUUCUGAAAGAGAUGGGAAUACCAGACCACCUAACCUGCCUCUUGAGGAAUCUGUAUGCAGGUCAAGAAGCAACAGUUAGAACUGGACAUGGAACAACAGACUGGUUCCAAAUAGGAAAAGGAGUACGUCAAGGCUGUAUAUUGUCACCCUGCUUAUUUAACUUCUAUGCAGAGUACAUCAUGAGAAAAUCUGGACUGGAAGAAGCACAAGCUGGAAUGAAGAUUGCUGGGAGAAAUAUCAAUAACCUCAGAUAUGCAGAUGACACCACCCUUAUGGCAGAAAGUGAAGAGGAGCUAAAAAGCUUCUUGAUGAAAGUGAAAGAGGAAAGUGAAAAAGUUGGCUUAAAGUUCAACAUUCAGAAAAUGAAGAUCAUGGCAUCCAGUCCCAUCACUUCAUGGGAAAUAGAUGGGGAAACAGUAGAGACAGCGUCAGACUUUAUUUUUUUGGGCUCCAAAAUCACUGCAGAUGGUGACUGCAGCCAUGAAAUUGAAAGACACUUACUCCUUGGAAGAAAAGUUAUGACCUACCUAGAUAGCAUAUUCAAAAGCAGAGACAUUACUUUGCCGACAAUGGUCUGUCUAGUCAAGGCUAUGGUUUUUCCAGUGGUCAUGUAUGGAUGUGAGAGUUGGACUGUGAAGAAGGCUGAGCGCUGA